UACGUAGGGCGCAAGCGUUAUCCGGAAUUAUUGGGCGUAAAGAGCUCGUAGGCGGUCUGUCGCGUCGGAUGUGAAAAUCCAGGGCUCAACCCUGGACCUGCAUUCGAUACGGGCAGACUAGAGUUCGGCAGGGGAGACUGGAAUUCCUGGUGUAGCGGUGAAAUGCGCAGAUAUCAGGAGGAACACCGGUGGCGAAGGCGGGUCUCUGGGCCGAAACUGACGCUGAGGAGCGAAAGCGUGGGGAGCAAACAGG
rnacentral:rRNA from 1 species